AGUUACGACUUGUCAACUUGAAUGAGCCUGAUCCUGUCAGACCUCAGAAGCUAAGCAAAGUCGAGCCCUGUUCGGACAUGGAUGGGAGUUCAUCAUGGCAGUGAAAGUG
rnacentral:rRNA from 1 species